GCACAAGCUGUGGAGCAUGUGGUUUAAUUCGAUGCAACGCGAAGAACCAUACCUGGUCUUGACAUCCACAGAACUUGGCAGAGAUGCCUUGGUGCCUUCGGGAACUGUGAGACAGGUGCUGCAUGGCUGUCGUCAGCUCGUGUUGUGAGAUGUUGGGUUAAGUCCCGCAACGAGCGCAACCCUUAUCCUUUGUUGCCAGCGGUCCGGCCGGGAACUCAAAGGAGACUGCCAGUGAUAAACUGGAGGAAGGUGGGGAUGACGUCAAGUCAUCAUGGCCCUUACGACCAGGGCUACACACGUGCUACAAUGGCAUAUACAAAGAGAAGCGACCUCGCGAGAGCAAGCGGACCUCAUAAAGUAUGUCGUAGUCCGGAUUGGAGUCUGCAACUCGACUCCAUGAAGUCGGAAUCGCUAGUAAUCGUGGAUCAGAAUGCCACGGUGAAUACGUUCCCGGGGCGUUGUACACACCGCCCGUCACACCAUGGGAGUGGGUUGCAAAAGAAGUAGGUAGCU
rnacentral:rRNA from 1 species